ACUCGAGUGGCGAACGGGUGAGUAACACGUGGGUAAUCUGCCCUGCACUUCGGGAUAAGCCUGGGAAACUGGGUCUAAUACCGGAUAGGACCCCGAGGCGCAUGCCUUGGGGUGGAAAGCUUUUGCGGUGUGGGAUGGGCCCGCGGCCUAUCAGCUUGUUGGUGGGGUGACGGCCUACCAAGGCGACGACGGGUAGCCGGCCUGAGAGGGUGUCCGGCCACACUGGGACUGAGAUACGGCCCAGACUCCUACGGGAGGCAGCAGUGGGGAAUAUUGCACAAUGGGCGCAAGCCUGAUGCAGCGACGCCGCGUGGGGGAUGACGGCCUUCGGGUUGUAAACCUCUUUCACCAUCGACGAAGGUCCGGGUUUUCUCGGAUUGACGGUAGGUGGAGAAGAAGCACCGGCCAACUACGUGCCAGCAGCCGCGGUAAUACGUAGGGUGCGAGCGUUGUCCGGAAUUACUG
rnacentral:rRNA from 1 species